CGGUACAAGAUCCCGUGUACCGGUACAAGGAGGCAGAAUUUGCACAGUUCGAACUGCAGGGGUGUUUUUGCAUUUGUGGGUCUCUUAUAUCAGCACCCACGUCCCUAGGGCCCUUCUUUGAGCUCUCCACUGCAGGGAAAAAGCCAUUUACACCAUUUUCGAAGCUUGGAGCUUGGGUUUGGAGUUUGAUUGAGGGAAGAUACUUGGAGUUUGAAGACUUUGAGCUGGUUUUGAGGCUUCUAAGAGGGCUUUUGAGGCUUGAUUGGUUGGUUUAGAACCUUCCUAGGGCUUGGAUUG